GCCCAGCGGUCGGCCUCCUCGGCGCUCAUUCCCGAAGCUCCUGGAGGUGCCGGCUCAGCUAAGUUGUUAUUCUGGCCAACACCCCAAACCACAGAUGUGGGGCACCGUCUAACCAAAGGAAACAGCUCCGUCCGUUGAGGACACAGCCAGAAGACAGCCAUCUCUGAACCAGGAAGCAGGUUUCCAUCACAUAUCGAAACAGCCAGCACUUGAUCUUGGACUUCAGAGCCUCCGCA